GGGGUGUGGUGCCUGGCGGGGAGCAGCUCAUGGUGAUAAGAAAACAGGGACAGCAGAAAGGACAUCAGCAGCACCUGCAAGAGAGCAACAAACACCCAUUUCUAUCUCCCACCACGUGCUGCCGUUAGGAACCCAUACCCCUUAAUGGGAUCCCUAGUCAGCGGAGCUCCUGAACAUAAUGGAAAUACAGUUAUUUUUGUUGAAGGACCAGGCUUUUAAGGGAGCACUUGGAUUUGAACCAAGGACCACGUAAUCUGCAGUCAAACACUCUUCCACUGAGCUAUACCCCCCUGACAAUUAUUUUGGCAAGUCAGUGAUCUUAAGGAUCUUGAAACCUGAGCGUGGUGUUCGUUUCUUCCACACCAGUAUUGCUGUCUGUGCAUUCCGGAGCUAUGGGGUGAGUGGGGAAGGCCCACAACUAGCUUGUCAGUAUCAACAAAGGAGCAGCCGACAUCAGGACCAACGAGACGUGCUGAUGGCCCAUCAGGAAGAAUCCACUCUCCCAGAGACU